CAGCUCAGACCUGGGCCACAGAAGAGAGAGACGCUGCCGGAGGUUUCCUUCAGCCCCUGGCUCUUUCUGUCCCUGCCCAGCAUCACAAUGUGGCCGCUCCAAGCGAUCGUAGCCAGGGAUCUCGAAGUGAUCCCAGCCAAGGAUCUGGACAGGUUCAUCGAACACCACCUCCUGCCAGACACUGCUUUCCGAAUGCAGGUCAAGCAAGCCAUUGACAUCAUCUGCAGUUUCCUGAAGGAGAGGUGUUUCCUCCAAGAUAGAGUCCGGGUGUCGAAGGUUGUAAAGGGCGGCUCCUCGGGCAAAGGCACCGCCCUCAGAGACCGGUCUGACGCCGACCUCGUCGUCUUCCUCAGCCCCCUCACAAGUUUUCAGGAGCAGUUUGAGCGCCGAGGAGAGUUCAUCCAGGAAACCAGAACACAGCUGGAAGCAUGUCAGCAACAGAGAAUGUUUACCGUGCGCUUCGAGGUCCAACCUAAAUUUCAGAACCCCCGCGCACUCAGCUUCACCCUCAAGAGCCGCUCUUCCCGGGCGGAGGCGGAGGUGGAGUUUGAUGUGCUGCCCGCCUACGAUGUCCUGGGUCAGGUGACGGAGCCCUACAGACCUGACCCCGACAUCUAUGUCAGGCUCAUCCGCGAGUGCGAGAGACUGGGGAAGGAGGGCGAGUUCUCCCCCUGCUUCACGGAGCUGCAGCGGGCCUUCCUGAAGCAGCGCCCCGCCAAGCUCAAGAGCCUCAUCCGCCUGGUCAAGCACUGGUACCAAAAGUGUAAGGAGAAGCUUGGACAGUCCCUGCCGCCUCAGUACGCCCUGGAGCUCCUGACCGUCUACGCUUGGGAGCGUGCAGGCCGGCAAACCGACUUCAUCACAGCGCAGGGAUUUCAGACGGUCUUGGAAUUAGUCAUGAACUACCGGCAGCUUCGCAUCCACUGGACACAGUAUUACGACAGUUCACAUCCUGUGAUUGGCCCAUACCUGCGGAGGCAGCUCCAGAAACCCAGGCCUGUGAUUCUGGACCCAGCGGACCCUACAGGAAACGUCGCUGGUGGAAAGCCAGAACGCUGGGAGCCGCUGGCGGGAGAGGCUAGGGCCUGGAUGAAGUACCCAUGCUUUCGCAAAGGAGAUGGGUCUCCAGUGGGCUCCUGGAACAUAUAGCAACCACUGCUCAUGGAAUGUUGGCCUGGCGCCCAGCUUCUGUCCUAAGGCCUUUAGCACACAUUGUUUUAUUCACUCAUCGAUCCUCGCAGCACCGGAUGAGACCUAAGGAGGCAGCGAAGAUGCCUGGCUAACCUCUGCUCUCAAGACACAUCAGCUCCCCGAUGGUGGACAGCGCCCUGGGUCCUUUCACCCCCGCAUUCACCAGGCGGAGUGCCCCUCCCGGGUGGAAGAGAGCAGAGCACACACUCACCUUUCAGAUGCAAACCAGCCAAUCAGAGCCCAGACUCCCACUCACCCAGGGCAGGUCCCAGAGGACUGGGCACAGCCCCACACUCCAGAGCCCGCUGGAAUUCUUCGCACUGGCCCAUCCUAGCCUGCUUACCCCGCUUGCCUUUCCCGUGGGAACUAUGAUAAAGGUUCUUUUUUGGGUUAAUCCUCACCCACAGAUAUUUCCACAUUCCCGCCAACACUUGUGUCUUUUGGGGGUUUUUGUGUGUGUGUGUUUUUUUUGUUUUUGUUUUUUUUUAAUGGAAUAGCCAUUCUUCCCUAGCUGGUUUGGCUUAGUGGAUAGAGUGUCAGCCUGCAGACUGAAGGGUU